rnacentral:misc_RNA from 1 species
UCUCCGUUGGUGAACCAGCGGAGGGAUCAUUACUGGAAUCGCAAGAUCCCACAACCCUGUGAACCUACCGAAACGUUGCCUCGGCGGGUGGCUGGCCCCCGCGCCGGGCGCUGCGCCCGCCGGCGGCCCCCUACUCUGUCUCUGCAGCGUGGCAUCUCAGAGUCCCAGAAAACAAGUCAAAACUUUCAACAACGGAUCUCUUGGCUCUA